GAUGAACGCUGGCGGCGUGCCUAAUACAUGCAAGUCGAGCGAACGGACGAGAAGCUUGCUUCUCUGAUGUUAGCGGCGGACGGGUGAGUAACACGUGGAUAACCUACCUAUAAGACUGGGAUAACUUCGGGAAACCGGAGCUAAUACCGGAUAAUAUUUUGAACCGCAUGGUUCCAAAGUGAAAGACGGUCUUGCUGUCACUUAUUGAUGGAUCCGCGCUGCAUUAGCUAGUUGGUAAGGUAACGGCUUACCAAGGCAACGAUGCAUAGCCGACCUGAGAGGGCGAUCGGCAACACUGGAACUGAGACACGGUCCAGACUCCUACGGGAGGCAGCAGUAGGGAAUCUUCCGCAAUGGGCGAAAGCCUGACGGAGCAACGCCGCGUGAGUGAUGAAGGUCUUCGGAUCGUAAAACUCUGUUAUUAGGGAAGAACAUAUGUGUAAGUAACUGUGCACAUCUUGACGGUACCUAAUCAGAAAGCCACGGCUAACUACGUG
rnacentral:rRNA from 1 species